ensembl:lncRNA
UCUUUAAAGACUAAACUCCUACUUCCUUACAUUUUUCACCUGUGCUUUAAUGCAUACCACAAACAGAUUCUUGCAACAGUUGGGUGUAAUAAACAAGGCCCUUGUCAGAAUUGGUAGCUGAUUAGAGCAGCGAUAGUUGUUUGCCUGUUCUGGCCUGUUAUGCGACAAUGUGAGGAAUGCCAGGUUUGUUUUCUGGAUCGAAAAUGUUUUGUGGUGCAUUCCAUACUGUUAAAAGUCAGCAUUUUUCUCACUGUCAAGUUGGCUGAACAGCACAGAAGAUAUUUUGAAUAAUGUUGUUUCCACCACUGUGGAAGUCAACUGUUCAGUUACCAGUUCUUCAAAAUAUCUUCUUUUAUGUUCAGUAUAAGAAAGAAGCUCACAAAGACCUCCAGGAAAACUGGAGGGUGAGUAAAUGAUGACAGAAAUGUUUUUUUUCCUCCAUUGUGUUUCCAUUGAGAUUUGUUUGCCUCUAAAGGUCACUAGGUUUAAAAGUGGGUCGAUGAGUUUCUGUGACAGAGGUGGGUUUCUUCUUUAAGUGCUCAUGAUCACAUGUAGAUUUCAGGAAACAAAUCAUAUGCCAUAUUUGUUUUAGAGGUUUGUGUGGUGCCUUUGUAGUUUUUUUAUUAGAUAUGUUCAUACACAAAGCCAUGAUUAAACAGAGCAGCAUAUAAUAUCUUGAAUGUAAUGAAGAUGAGCCAUUCAGGUCACAAGCAUACAGGUUUUCUACACGUUUUCCCAUGCUUCACCCAUUUUAACGCUCUCUCAAUUCCAUUAGUCGUUGUGAAGCGGCAGAUCCUGCUUAGUGGCAUUCCAGUUAAUGCUGCUGAAGUUUGUAUUACUACACUUUAUCUGUGGACAUGUGAGCGAGCACUUCUGCCUGAACUGAGUUUUUGUGAGAAACUCAGAGCAAGCGCUGAAGAUUGAGGUGACUGUCGACGUCUUCCGGAUUUGCUAAGAUGCCUAUUCCUCCUCCUCCCCCUCCACCUGGACCUCCACCGCCCCCCAGCUCUAGCCAGGUCAGUGUAAAGCAAAGAGCGGGUAGCAUGUGUUUCCCUUCACUGCAGCGAUUUAUCCUCCCUGUUGCUUCCUUAGUUCAUGUUUUCAACUCCCU